UGGCCAUUGCGGUAACGCGAUCAGACGUGAAAGAUUAUAGUUUACCUGCACUGUUGGACUCACAAACCUAUCUGAUUUCUGUUGUCCUUUGGGAUCGUCGGACUUUGUAGUUAAUAAUUAUGUAAUAAGGCAGUAAAAUAAGAGAAAUAGGCCGCGCGCUGACAACAGUUUGCAAUAAUGUGAAAGAACUCAAUGAUUGUGAGUAUCUAAGUCUGUUCGUUCAGCUUGUACUUGUGUCACUCCGCUUCAUUGUCAGCGUCAUUUUCCUCGUGUAUUCCAUCAGGACGAUUUCAGCAGCUGGAGGAAUCGUUGCGAUAAUGAGUAUUUUAAAGGAGUUAUUAUCAAUUGUGUUGUAUGCUGUUAUGCUGUUGCUGUUACUUGAACCGUCUUACCGGAUGCGCACUGAGAUGACACGAACGAAGCUGCUGGUCGUAACAAUCCUGAAUCACAUAGUCUCUGAGCCUGAAAUGGAGGUUACACAACGAGAUCUCCUAGACGAGUUAUACCUCUUGAUGAAGAUUCUGCAAUACGAACAGCCGAUCUACUCGGCGUUUGGGGUUUUUUGGCUGGACAAAUCUUUUAUCUUAAAUGUACUUGGAAGUAUCGUCGCCUACUUCUUGUUUAUUUACAAGUAGGGUGUGCAUUUUACUAUAUCUACAUAUUACCAUUUAAGAACCUUAGAUAGUCGAACUUUUCUAUUUUUCAGCAGUUUCACUGUCUAACACGCAAGCUAACGUCUUCUUUCGUCUCUAGAGAAAUCAUGUAAUUUAACAAAGCGAGGUUCUCAAACUAUAAGUUGAUUAUUAUUGCAAGUGUG